AGGCUUUCUGACCCGGAAUGGAGGAGGCGGAGGAGCUGCUCUUGGAGGGGAAGAAGGCGCUGCAACUCGCCCGCGAGCCGCGCCUGGGCCUGGACUUAGGAUGGAAUCCUUCCGGAGAAGGCUGUACGCAGGGCCUCAAAGACGUCCCACCCAAGCCGACCCGAGACAUCCUCGCUUUAAAGAGCCUUCCCCGGGGCUUGGCCCUUGGCCCCUCACUCGCCAAGGAACAGCGCUUGGGGGUCUGGUGUGUCGGGGACCCCCUGCAGCCCGGCCUGCUGUGGGGGCCGCUGGAAGAGGAGUCUGCCUCCAAGGAGAAGGGCGAGGGAGUAAAGCCACGGCAGGAGGAGAACCUGUCAUUAGGCCCAUGGGGAGACGUGUGUGCCUGUGAGCAGAGUUCUGGCUGGACUAGGUAAGUCAGAGGAGAGUGUGUCAUGAAUAUUCGUUCCUUUGAGGUUUUCUGUUGUGGUUUGGGAUGGAUCCCGGUGCUGACUGUCAUUCCCUAUUCAGUGCUCUUUUGCAGUGAAUGUUCCAAAGGCACGGCGUCCUUUA
rnacentral:sRNA from 1 species